rnacentral:rRNA from 1 species
GAGAGUUUGAUCCUGGCUCAGGACGAACGCUGGCGGCGUGCCUAAUACAUGCAAGUCGUACGCUUCUUUUUCCACCGGAGCUUGCUCCACCGGAAAAAGAAGAGUGGCGAACGGGUGAGUAACACGUGGGUAACCUGCCCAUCAGAAGGGGAUAACACUUGGAAACAGGUGCUAAUACCGUAUAACAAUCGAAACCGCAUGGUUUUGAUUUGAAAGGCGCUUUCGGGUGUCGCUGAUGGAUGGACCCGCGGUGCAUUAGCUAGUUGGUGAGGUAACGGCUCACCAAGGCCACGAUGCAUAGCCGACCUGAGAGGGUGAUCGGCCACAUUGGGACUGAGACACGGCCCAAACUCCUACGGGAGGCAGCAGUAGGGAAUCUUCGGCAAUGGACGAAAGUCUGACCGAGCAACGCCGCGUGAGUGAAGAAGGUUUUCGGAUCGUAAAACUCUGUUGUUAGAGAAGAACAAGGAUGAGAGUAACUGUUCAUCCCUUGACGGUAUCUAACCAGAAAGCCACGGCUAACUACGUGCCAGCAGCCGCGGUAAUACGUAGGUGGCAAGCGUUGUCCGGAUUUAUUGGGCGUAAAGCGAGCGCAGGCGGUUUCUUAAGUCUGAUGUGAAAGCCCCCGGCUCAACCGGGGAGGGUCAUUGGAAACUGGGAGACUUGAGUGCAGAAGAGGAGAGUGGAAUUCCAUGUGUAGCGGUGAAAUGCGUAGAUAUAUGGAGGAACACCAGUGG